rnacentral:misc_RNA from 1 species
AAAAUAUGAAGCAUCAAAUUACAUCACACAUACGAACAUUUAUAAUAUGAUUGCAUAAAUGUAAUUAAAGCAUAAGACAAAAGGGGAAAAUAUAAAAAGUAAAGGAAAGGAAAGGAGAGGCCAAACUCCAAAGACGAUGGCAUUGGCCACUUUAUUCAUACAAGUUGAUAAGUAGUCUACUAGAAACAGACAAUUAAUUAGUUACUUAUUGAGAUUUCAAACACAGUGCUUUGUGCAAAAGCAGCGACGGCGGAAGCCCCUGCAGACGCCACCGGUAAACCCCUCUGUCUUGCAAAUGUUGCCACAAUUUGUGCUACUAAAGCACAGACCCUUGAAACUGUGGCUCAGAGAUUCACAUACCCUUGCCUCCACAACAAUUGGCUCCAUCCCAGUGCCAAAAAUGAGGAGCAACAGCAAAAUUGCAGCUGAAAAGAACUUCAUAUUCAGAGAGAAAUAGAAAGAGAAAGAGAGGAUUUUGAGUUUAGUUGGGAAUGAGAGUUGAU